rfam:Fistulifera solaris DNA, contig: scaffold00022, strain: JPCC DA0580.
AAACCGGAGGUCUUUACCUCCACCCAAACAAACAAAGACACAUUUU